UGCACUAAACCAAUGGCUUCAAAUAGAAUCUCUUUUCUUUGGGUUAUUGUCUUCUUUCUUUGUGUGUUCAUUUCUUGUGCUAGGGCAACAUCACUCGUUCUAGCUGGUGCUUCUAGCCAUGCAAGUUCAUAUGAAAAAGUUCAGUACAGAAGGCUACUUGGUCAACCACAAAACGCAGAUCCUUGUUGUCACAAUUAUGAUGUAUGAUGCUGUUGUUCUGUUGCAGUUCGAAGAAUAUAAGUGCAAAAAAAAACAUGAAUUAUAUAUAUCAUGCUUAUUUGUAACUCGUUCAAAUUAAUGUUGUGUUCCAGUAUUGGUUUUGCGUAUAUAUUAGUGUGUGGAAUAAUGUUUAAGGUAUUUAUGAUCUCUAAUCUUGUUUAAAUGAAAACAAUUAUAUC